CUCGCUUUGAGACUUGUAUUAGCGUUUGCUUACAUUGUAUUUUCCGCUUUGUGCAAGAGAUGGCGCUCUAAGUCUUGCCGCGGCUGCCGAACCUCCAGUCAAACAUGGCUUCCUCCAGCCCGCGCGCGCGUUUUCAUCCCCGCGGAAAGUACCUCACGGACGAAGAAAUCCAGGCUCUUUUGGAGCAGAGUAAUGCGGAUUUGUCAGGCUGUGAUGAACGAGAGAGUGCAUCGACAACUCCGCACAAAGUUUGGACGAAUCCAGCCGAGAAUGCAACUCGACGAUAGUGACGAUCAACCGAACCAGCCUUCAACUGCAGACUGCAUGUGGAAAACUCAAACAGAGUGAUGAACAGUCUACACCUCCCAAGAGAGCCAAGGUGAUUCCUCUGCCUUCAGACAAGGUGCGCUACGACAGGACUGGACACUUUCCAGAACAUGAAAAGCUGAAGUCCCUGAUGAAGUGUCGGAACCCGCAGCCAAAGAGAAGUCGCCAGUAAAAUGCCGAUAAAUGUAACGUGUUUCUUU